UACGUAGGGUGCAAGCGUUGAUCGGAAUUACUGGGCGUAAAGCGUGCGCAGGCGGUUGUGUAAGUCUGUCGUGAAAUCCCCGGGCUCAACCUGGGAAUUGCGAUGGAGACUGCACGGCUAGAGUGUGUCAGAGGGGGGUAGAAUUCCACGUGUAGCAGUGAAAUGCGUAGAUAUGUGGAGGAACCCCGAUGGCGAAGGCAGCCCCCUGGGAUAACACUGACGCUCAUGCACGAAAGCGUGGGGAGCAAACAGG
rnacentral:rRNA from 1 species